rnacentral:rRNA from 1 species
UCGAAACCUGCAAGGCAGACCGCGAACACGUAUCUAACGCCGAACCCCCGCCGGCGCGCGAGCGAAUGCCCGCCGCGCCGCGCGGGCUAACGAACCCCGGCGCCGAACGCGCCAAGGAAAACUCAGAGUAGCGCCGCCGCCCCGCGCCCCCGUCCGCGGGACAAGCCCGGGGCCGGCGUGCGUCUAUCGAAUGUCAAAACGACUCUCGGCAACGGAUAUCUCGGCUCUCGCAUCGAUGAAGAACGUAGCGAAAUGCGAUACUUGGUGUGAAUUGCAGAAUCCCGUGAACCAUCGAGUCUUUGAACGCAAGUUGCGCCCGAAGCCAUCAGGCCGAGGGCACGUCUGCCUGGGCGUCACGCAUCGCGUCGCCCCCCCACCACGGUCCCUUCGGGGCGGGGAGGGGGCGGAUACUGGCCUCCCGUGCGCCCCGGCGCGCGGCCGGCCCAAAUGCGAUCCCCCGGCGACCCGCGUCGCGGCAAGUGGUGGUUGAACGAAUCAAUCUCGCGUACUGCCGCGCCCCCGGGCCGUCCGGACGGGCAUCGGGAACGACCCUGCGGCGAAAGCCCACGACCGCGACCC